GACGAACGCUGGCGGCGUGCUUAACACAUGCAAGUCGAACGGAAAGGCCCUACCUUGCUCUUCUGGAUGAGUGGCGAACGGGUGAGUAACACGUGAGUAACCUGCCCCAGACUCUGGUAUAAGCGCUGGAAACGGCGUCUAAUACCGUAUACGAGACCGUGCUGCAUGGGUGCUGUCUGGAAAUUUCUUCGGUCGGGGAUGGCCUCGCGGCUUAUCAGCUUGUUGGUGGGGUAGCGGCUCACCAAGGCAACGGCGGGUCGCCGUCCUGGGAGGGCGACCGGCAACAUUGGGCCUGGGAAACGGCCCAGACUCCUACGGGAGGCAGCAGUGGGGAAUAUUGCACAAUGGGCGGAAGCCUGAUGCAGGGACGCCGCGUGGGGGAUGACGGCCUUCGGGUGGUAAACCGCUUUCAGCAGGGAAGAAGCGAAAGUGACGGUACCUGGAGAAGAAGCACCGGCUAACUACGUG
rnacentral:rRNA from 1 species